rnacentral:rRNA from 1 species
UACGAAGGGGGCUAGCGUUGUUCGGAAUUACUGGGCGUAAAGCGCACGUAGGCGGAUUUGUAAGUCAGGGGUGAAAUCCCGGGGCUCAACCUCGGAACUGCCUUUGAUACUGCAAGUCUCGAGUCCGAUAGAGGUGAGUGGAAUUCCUAGUGUAGAGGUGAAAUUCGUAGAUAUUCGGAGGAACACCAGUGGCGAAGGCGGCUCACUGGUCCGGUACUGACGCUGAGGUGCGAAAGCGUGGGGAGCAAACAGG